rnacentral:lncRNA from 1 species
AACCCCAAAAAUACCCCAAAAAUAACCCAAAAACACCCCCAAAAACACCCCAAAAACCCUCCCCAAAAACCCCAAAAAUCCACCCGAAAAUACCCCAAAAAUCCACCCCAAAAACCCUCCCAAAAACCCCCCAAAAACCCUCCCCAAAAACCCCAAAAAUCCACCCAAAAAUACCCCAAAAAUCCACCCCAAAAACACCCCAAAAACCCCAAAAAUACCCCAAAAAUACCCCAAAAACCCUCCCAAAAACCCCCCAAAAACCCUCCCCAAAAACCCCAAAAAUCCACCCAAAAAUACCCCAAAAACCCUCCCCAGAAACCCCAAAAAUCCACCCGAAAUUACCCCCAAAAAUCCCCUGAAAUAUACCCCAAAAAUCCACCCAAAAUACCCCAAAAAUCCACCUAAAAACACCCCAAAAAUCCACCCCAAAAACCCCAAAAAUCCACCCAAAAAUACCCCAAAAAUCCACCUAAAAACACCCCAAAAAUCCACCCCAAAAACCCCAAAAAUCCUCCCAAAAACACCCCAAAAACCCUCCCCAAAAACCCCAAAAAUCCACCCAAAAAUACCCACAAAAAUCCCCUGAAAAAUACCCCAAAAACCCUCCCCAAAAACCCCAAAAAUCCACCCAAAAACCCCCCAAAAACCCUCCCCAAAAACCCCAAAAAUCCCCCAAAAAUCCACCCAAAAACUCCCCAAAAACCCUCCCCAAUUUCAGGACCCCUCCCCAAUUUUGGGACCCCUCCCCAAUUUGGGGACCCCUCCCCAAUUUGGGGACCCCUCCCCAAUUUGGGGACCCCUCCCCAAUUUCAGGGACCCCUCCCCAAUUUCGGGGACCCCUCCCCAAUUUUGGGACCCCUCCCCAAUUUGGGGACCCCUCCCCAAUUUUGGGGACCCCUCCCCAAUUUCGGGACCCCUCCCCAAUUUGGGGACCCCUCCCCAAUUUCAGGGACCCCCGGGACCCCCGGCUGCUGCUCCUGGAGCCCCCCGCGCCCCCCCCGGAGCCCGGCCUGGUCACCGUGAGCACCCCAAAAUUUGAGGGGGGGUCCCCAAAAAUGGGGAGGGGUCCCCAAAAAUGGGGAGGGGGUCCCAAAGUUGGGGGGGGCCCAAAAUUGGGGCGGGGGGCCCAAAAAUGGGGAGGGGGGUCCCCAAAAUUGGGGGGG